rnacentral:rRNA from 1 species
CGCCUGUUUAUCAAAAACAUCUUUUCUUGUUAGUUUUUGAAGUAUGGCCUGCCCACUGAUUUUAGGUUGAAGGGCCGCGGUAUUUUGACCGUGCAAAGGUAGCAUAAUCAUUAGUUCUUUAAUUGUGAUCUGGUAUGAAUGGCUUGACGAGGCAUGGGCUGUCUUGGAUUGGGAUUGUUUAUUGAAUUUGGUUUUUGAGUUAGAAUUCUUAAAUGUUUUUAUGGGACGAGAAGACCCUAUAGAGUUUAACAUUUUUUAUACAGCUUGAUUUUGUUUGUUGUGUGGUUGCUUUAUAUUAAUAUGUUUUGUUGGGGUGAUGGGAAGAAUUUUCUUAACUCUUCUUUAUUUUGAUAUAUUGAUUUAUGUUGGUUUUGAUCCAUUUAUUUUGAUUAUAAGAUUAAAUUACCUUAGGGAUAACAGCGUAAA